AUUAAUGACCUCACCAAAUACCUAAUCCAGGAUUUUCCAGGCAUGCUGAACUUCUACCCCAUCACAGUCAUUCAGUUCUUCAAGAGUAACUGGGCUGAGAUCAGAGCCAGUGCUGCCAUGUUUAUUGGUAAAAAAAAAAAAAAUCCUACUGGUUUUUGCUUGGGAACCUUCCUGAUGAGCAU